rnacentral:rRNA from 1 species
GACGAACGCUGGCGGCGUGCUUAACACAUGCAAGUCGAACGGAAAGGCCCUGCUUUUGUGGGGUGCUCGAGUGGCGAACGGGUGGGUAACACGUGAGUAACCUGCCCUUGACUUUGGGAUAACUUCAGGAAACUGGGGCUAAUACCGGAUAGGAGCUCCUGCUGCAUGGUGGGGGUUGGAAAGUUUCGGCGGUUGGGGAUGGACUCGCGGCUUAUCAGCUUGUUGGUGGGGUAGUGGCUUACCAAGGCUUUGACGGGUAGCCGGCCUGAGAGGGUGACCGGCAACAUUGGGACUGAGAUACGGACCAGACGCCUACGGGAGGCAGCAGUGGGGAAUAUUGCACAAUGGGCGGAAGCCUGAUGCAGCAACGCCGCGGGCGGGAUGACGGCCUUCGGGUUGUAAACCGCUUUCGCCUGUGACGAAGCGUGAGUGGCGGUAAUGGGUAAAGAAGCACCGGCUAACUACGUG